rnacentral:rRNA from 1 species
UACGUAGGGCGCAAGCGUUGUCCGGAAUUAUUGGGCGUAAAGAGCUCGUAGGCGGUUUGUCACGUCUGCUGUGAAAACUGGAGGCUCAACCUCCAGCUUGCAGUGGGUACGGGCAGACUAGAGUGCGGUAGGGGAGAUUGGAAUUCCUGGUGUAGCGGUGGAAUGCGCAGAUAUCAGGAGGAACACCAAUGGCGAAGGCAGAUCUCUGGGCCGUAACUGACGCUGAGGAGCGAAAGCAUGGGGAGCGAACAGG